AGAAUCAACGCUGGCGGCGUGCCUAACACAUGCAAGUCGCACGAGAAAGGGGCUUCGGCCCUGAGUAAAGUGGCGCACGGGUGAGUAACACGUGAUAAUCUACCUCCGAGUGGGGAAUAACUGAGAGAAAUCUUAGCUAAUACCGCAUAAUACCCACGGGUCAAAGCAGUAAUGCGCUUGGAGAGGAGUUCGCGGCAGAUUAGCUAGUUGGCGGGUAAUGGCCCACCAAGGCGAUGAUCUGUAU
rnacentral:rRNA from 1 species